GACGAACGCUGGCGGCGUGCUUAACACAUGCAAGUCGAACGGAAAGGCCCUGCUUUUGUGGGGUGCUCGAGUGGCGAACGGGUGAGUAACACGUGAGUAACCUGCCCUUGACUUUGGGAUAACUUCAGGAAACUGGGGCAAAUACCGGAUAGGAGCUCCUGCGGCAGGGAGGGGGUGGGAAAGUUUCGGCGGGCGGGGAUUGACUCGCGGCUUAUAAGAUUGUUGGUGGGGGAGUGGCUUACCAAGGCUUUGACGGGUAGCCGGCCUGAGAGGGUGACCGGCCACAAUGGGACUGAGGUACGGCCCAGACUCCUACGGGAGGCAGCAGUGGGGAAUAUUGCCCAAUGGGCCGAAGCCUGAUGCGGCAACGCCGCGUUCGUGAUGCCGGCCUUCGGGUUGUAAACCGCUUUCGCCUGUGACGAAGCGUGAGUGACGGUAAUGGGUGAAGAAGCACCGGCUAACUACGUG
rnacentral:rRNA from 1 species